rnacentral:rRNA from 1 species
UAGACCUCUAAUCGGAAAAGACUACCCGCUGAGUUUAA